AUUCCCGCAGCUACGCAGCUAAUUUCAUAAGUAAAUGCCAUAAACAGGUAUUUUAGUAUUUCUAUUAUUCUGACUUUAUUGCUACUCGCUAUUAGUUCAGCAUUGCUUUGUUGAUCGUUUCGACCUGAUUUUGAGAAAUAUGGAUAGAUGUGCUGCACCAAAUUGUCAAAUCAUUCUAGAAAUAACUUUAGGAUGUUUUGUUUAGCAAAAAAUGAAAAAAGACGAAGAAGAAGUAAUUCUUUCUGGUCGAGAUCAAUGGAUUUCGGUCGCAGGAGCGUGUUUUUGUGAAAAAUGAAGAAAGACGAAGAAAAUGGAUAGUUAAUUCUCGUCGAGAUCAAUGGAUCCCGGGCCCAGGAGCGUAUCUUUGUGAGGUACAUUUUGAAGAAAAUCAAUUUGAAUGCUCUAGGCAAGAUGGGCGUAAAAAACUCAAGCCCAAUGCUGUGCCAACUCUUUUCAAUGUGCCUAAUCCCCCACAACUGUUGACCCCACAGCGUCUAAAAGGCAUUGGUUUACCAAAGCACCGUUCAGUUACAUCC